GGAAAAGUACAACAUUUUCUAGAUUGAAAAUUGAGUCAAUCACACAUAUUUUAAAUGAUAAUUUUCAUACAAAUAAGUACUAGGCAUUUAAUUGUUCAUAACUUAUUUUCUUUUCAUGUAAUUUUUAUACUUGCAAUUGCACAACGUAUUUCAUCGAGAUAGCAAGAUGAUUUUUAAUUUUUCGUUGGCUUUCAGGCAUGGUUGGGAUAAUUAUUCGAUGGCCUUGUGAUUCAUCGGAAGUAUUAAAAAGAUAGUAAUAUCUGGACAUAUAUAUACCCAAACCCACCAAAGAACCAGUCAAGGUAGAGAAGCAUGCUCUCAUGGACAGACAAUUGAUAGUGCUUUCUCCAAACGUUCUUUAAUUCUUACAGACAAAAACAAAACCCAAGAAAAGAAGAAAUACAAGAAAGCAACAGUACAAAAACAGAAUAUAGUACUACUGGUAUUGCUACUGUGUUACUGCUACACACUAAUCUUUAUCUUUUUUAUGGCCGUCUUUAACUGCUUUAACUUUGUCUGUAAAACCAAUUGGCAAAGUGAAAAAGAAAAACUGCAACAAAAGACAGUAUUAGUGUUUACCAGAUUCAACUUCACACUUUGCUGACCAAAAGGACAGCUGACUCUGUCGUUUUAUGCCUUGUGUUCAAGCAUAACGACAUACCAUUUCCCCUAAUAUGCUGGGCCGGCCUUGGGUUUGGGUCAAAAAGAAACCAUAACCUCUCUCACAGACACAUUUUUUUGUACGAGAGAGAAGGUGGGCUGUUGUUUUUUGCACUUUAUUUUGUUCAAAUUCCAUACAAGAAUUGCAUUGUCUUGUUCUUAAGGUGAAUUCCUGUCUCACUCUUGGUCAUUCACGUUGUGUUUUCUGGGCUUAAACUAUUUCUUCUUAAGAAAAGGAAUAAUUCUGUUCAAUGCCCAUUUGGAAGUUGAUCAUUUUAAUGCAUGAAAGUUAGUGCUUUCCGUCGAAAUUUGUGGAAUUGUAGUUUGCUUCAUCUUGUUGAGCUCAAGAUUUUCCGGAAGAGGGAGUGUAGAGAGAGUGGCGCAUGAAGGAGUAGUGGAAAAAUGAGAGAUGAAAAUUCCAAGAAAAGCAAGGUUUCUUUCUUGAAAAUUUAAAUUUAUACUUUUUUUUAAAAACCGAAACCACAUUGUUAAUUCACCAUUUUUCCUUUGGUGAUGUGAAGUUCUCGUGGUCGAAGAAACUGGUAAGAAAAUGGUUCAAUAGUAAGAGCAAAUGUGGUGAAUUUGAGGCCGACGAAGCUGUGUAUGCAAGUGAGUAUAAAAAUUGAAUCUUCCUUCAAUUUUUUUCUUUCUUUAGCUUUUAUUGGAUUGCUUGUUGAAUUGAGGUUCCGUUUUUAGUACUAUUUGUUUAUAUUUUCAUUCUGUCUUCAUAUUAAUAAUUAUUCUUGUCAUGAAGUUAACAUUUGGCUGCUGAGGAAAUCAAGGAAUAACUUUUUCAUUUAAAAUUUUUAUUUCUCUUUCUUUGUCUUUUAUUGGAACCAAAGAUUUAGGAUUAUUUUUCAAGAUUUUUACGUUCUAUGAAAUUUUUUCUAAUAAAACAAGAUUAUGAGGAAUUUAAUUACCAGAACUGAAAAAAACUCAAUAAAAUUGAUGAUUGCUUUGAACUUCAUGUUGAGAUAUGAGUUAUUAAUACUGAUGUUGUACACUUCUACUCUAGGGGGUGAUUCGGAAUGGAGGAAUAGCCGCUCCGAGAGGGAACCGUGUACAAUCAAGAAAAGUAAAACCGGUACGUUACAUCCUACUUUAGAAAGUUUCUUGACCGAACUUGCUUCAGUUUGAAAACCCACUUAUUCAUCUGUAAAUAUUUUUGUUAGUUUUGGUCUAUUUAUAUGAAUGUCCUGAAACUUCUUCUUUGCUUCAAUGACAUUAAUCUUAAUCGUUUAAGUCUUACCGUGCUUGAUUGAACAGAAAAAACAAUAAACAACAUAGAACGAUCCUAUUCCCGUUCACGAUCCCGUCGAGGGAGAGGUUAUCUAGAUCACCCUCAGAUUGUAAAUGUCCAGAAUUACAGGUUUGUUUCUUUCAUAGAUGUUCAUGUAAUAGCCUUCAGAUCCUUUUUUUGUUUCUUAGUGCUUCUUGUUCCGUGGAGCAGUGUCUUUGUAUCAACAUGGAAUGUUGGGGGGAAAUCGCCGUCAAGCAAUAUGAAUCUAGAUGAUUGGCUACAUUCUCAACCUCCUGCAGAUAUUUAUGUACUAGGGUAUACCUUCCAUUCUUGAUUAAUUGUAUACUUUGCACUGACUUUGUUACUCCUUUCACUGACAGAAGUACUUUUUUUUUUGCCUUUUAGAUUCCAAGAAAUAGUUCCUUUGAAUCCUGGUAAUAUUCUUGGUGCUGAAGACAAUGGCCCUGCCAAAAAAUGGUUAGCUCUUAUACAGAGGACGUUAAACAAUGCACCUGGAACUAGUGGAGGGCGUGAGUGUUUUACACCAUCGCCAAUCCCCAAUCCAGUUGUGGAAUGGAAUGCAGAUUUUGAGGGAUCAACCAUGCGGAACACAUCUUCCUUCUUGCAUCGACGAUCGUUUCAAACACCACAAUACUGGAGAAUGGACAAUGACGUUUCAAUAUCACAACCUCACCCAAAUAGUCGACAUAGUGUAUGUGACCGGGUAAUUUUGGGUCAUAGGCCUAGUGAUAUCGAUCCAAAUAUCAGAUGGGGUUACAGGCCAAGUGACUGUUCCACUAUUCCGAGGCCUAGUGACUUUUCCUCUAGUCGUCGGCCCAGUGAUUAUUCCUCUGGUCGUCGACCAAGUGACUAUUCCUCUGGUCGCCGUCCGAGUGACUAUUCCUGGGGUCAGAGACCAAGUGAUUUCUCUAGAUGGGGUUCAGAUGAGGAUUAUAUGCCUGAGGACUCACCUGGAACAGUGUUGAAUUCGCCGAUGUCCUGCAGUGGAUAUGCACCAAAGGAAGAGGGAUACACAUUACCUGGCCAUUCUAGGUACUGUUUAGUUGCGAGUAAGCAAAUGGUUGGUAUAUUUCUUACAGUUUGGGUUCGAAGCGAAUUAAGGGAGCAUGUCCAGAACAUGAAAGUAUCUUGUGUUGGCAGAGGAUUGAUGGGAUACCUGGGAAAUAAGGUAGUUUUCAUACAAAAAGAAUAUUCUUUACGAGUUCCUAUACACAGUUGAAAAUUUAUGACUAAGACGAAGAGCUGUGAUUGAUUUUUACAGGGAUCCAUUUCGAUUAGUAUGUUACUGCAUCAAACAAGCCUUUGCUUUGUGUGCAGUCACUUGACUUCAGGUCAGAAGGAGGGCGAUGAAAUACGUAGAAAUGCUGAUGUAAUGGAGAUCCUUAGGAAAACAAGGUUCCCACGAGUAAAUAGCAUCAGUAAUGAGAAGUCUCCGGAAACAAUCCUCGAACAUGAGUAAGCCCAGCAAAUCAUUAACUUCCAUUUUUGGUAUUAAAUGCAAAUUGUUUCACCAUAUCUGUAUAGUAUUUUUUGUAGUCAACGAUAAUUGCUUGCGAUUUACUGAUAAGUUUAUAUUUUGAUCUAGCCGAAUUAUUUGGCUUGGGGAUCUGAACUAUCGAAUAGCGCUACCAUCCCGGUCUGCUAAAGCACUUGUUGAGAUGCAAAAUUGGAGAGCAUUGUUAGAAAAGGACCAGGUACUUUUAUCUAUGUUCUUUUUGAACUCUUCGGGUUAAUAUUUUUCUGUGAUUGUCAAUAUAAUAGUGAAUAACGUAUUGUUAUUAUCAGCUGCGGAUAGAGCAGAGACGAGGCCGAGUUUUUGAGGGAUGGAGAGAAGGGAAGAUAUAUUUUCCUCCAACUUAUAAAUACUCACACAAUUCAGACAGAUAUGUGGGAGGUGAAAUGCAUCCUAAGGAGAAACGAAGGACACCAGCGUGGUUAGAACUCUCUCUUACUGAUCAAUAUGCCUUAUAUGUUGAUUAUUCAUUAAAUAAGUAAAAAUUGAUCAGGUGUGAUCGAAUUUUGUGGUACGGAGACGGCCUUCAGCAGUUAUCUUAUGUACGCGGGGAGUCUAGGUUCUCAGAUCAUAGACCUGUUUCCAGCAUAUUUUGGGCCGAAGCUGAGUCAGUUCCCAGCCGGUUAAGGAAAAGCACAAGUUGUUCCAGCUCGAGGAUUGAUGUGGAGGAGUUGUUUCCUCCAUACUCGCAUGGUUACACAGAACUAUGCUUCUUUUGAAGUAGUAAAAACGGAUGGUUAAAAAUGAGUACGCGUUCAGUCCUUGAACAUCUAAUAUCAGUGCUUUGAGGGUGUGAAAUUUUACGCACCCAAAGCAAGAUGUGAGAAAAUAUGCAGGCGGGGAAAUGCUCUGGGGAAGCAUAGGGUGAAGAACGAUGGGGACAUCCUUUGCCCAUUAACUGAAAAAUGGUGAAGCCUGAUGCUCUUUUACCUUUUCUUGAUUAUGCUGCAGCUUGUCAUUUUCUUUUCUGAUUUUUUGCCUUCCAUUUUCUGAUCAGAUGUAGAUAUUAGACAUAUACUUACAAAGCAAUCGGGCUCGCUUCUUGCUAUUGACUUUUCCAAUGACAAAUGCCUUCUCUUCUCAAAGAACCAGACGAGAUGAGACGAUCUUCACCAGUCUUACUAGGCGGGCGGGAAAAAAUCUAAUCCGGCUUGCUAACUAAUCUCGUGUUAUUUUAUCUAAUACAAGAUUCUUUAUUUCUUAGGAUAGAGAUUCAUUUCUAUUUGUUUGAACAGGAAGAGAAGUGAGAAUUUGAUAUGCACUCUCUAAUAUUGCCAAUGAUUUCACUGAAAAGUGGUAAUAUUGGGAAGAUAGCUCUCAUGUAUUGUUGUCUGCUUUUUCUUUUGUCUGUAAAGAUUACAAAAGCAUAAAACAGGUUGCAGAGCUUGAUAGAUUCACUUUUCUACUUAUGGUUACUUAUAAUUAAAAUAAGUUUUCCUUUUUAAGCACGAGAUAAAACAAAUAUGUGAUUUGAGCACUGGAAU
rnacentral:lncRNA from 1 species